rnacentral:lncRNA from 1 species
CUAAAAACUUCAAUGGUAAAUAUGAACACUAAAGGUGAUUUCUAUUUAAAGAAACAGCAAACAUUAUGAAGUUAUUUAAAAAAGGAAAAUUGUUUCAUGGGGCUGGACGCAAUUCUACAAUAUGAGGUCGGUAUAAAGCAUCCCAUCUUAAAGAUGGAUGUCAAUAGGUGAUCCAUCUAAAACCAAUUGUAAUUAAUGGUCCAAAUGUUUUUUAAUUUAAUUAUUAUUUUUAGUCUUCAAUUUUUUUUUUCAUCUCCAUGUUAAAGAUCAUAUAUUCUUUAAAAAUCAAAUUAUAUUUAGAAUAUAUAUUUAUUGCCUAGCCCGCAUUUAAUAAGAUGAUUA